GAUGGAUGAGAUCGUGGUCAAAGCGCGACUGUUUCCCGCUCAUAUUCAUUGUUGUAUACUCAAUGUAUAUAUUUAUUGCACACACCAACGUAACUUGAAAUAUGAUUCCUGUUCUCAAAGAAAAUAUUACCAUGGCGCAUGCGCGUCAGCAGAAAUUCCACGUCCAGACCGCGUGAUAGCCUAUUUGAAUCGCUCUGCUCAGUCGAGUCAGCGAUCUAGCAGCAGCAGCUCACUAGUAUAACGGUCGCCGACUCGCCGUCCAGUUGAUGUGAAUUAGCCAUGAUCACCAAGCAAGUUAUUUUCACUACAGCAUUUCUUAGAAGGUAGGCAGUACAUACGUGAGUGCACUGGCUGCAGGAUGUGGCAAGUUUAAACUUUUAACUUCAGCAGUCUUCGAGGGAGGAAGUUUCUAAUUAUUUUGAAAACCACCCCGUACAUCUCUUCAAUGUUGUUGCUAUUCGUGUCUUUGGAGAAGUGCCAUAUUGACAACCUUGCUGAACAAGGAAUCCACUUACUUCUACAUCUGGAUAGUCUUCUAUGAAAGGUUCCAUUAAAUGAAUGUUACUCUAAAACAUAGAUUGGGCAAUUAGCCAAUGUGCAUGGAGGUAUUCAAAGAAAAUCAUGUUGAAAUGUCAAUAUUUUAAAAUGCAGGUUUUUUGCAAGUUCCCUGCAUACAAAUAUAUCUUCACCAACAAACGCUAUUCAAGUAUCCCUUUCAAGUGUUAUUCUUUUUCAUAGACUCUGUAGCUACAAAAAAACCAAAACAAUUCCUUUGAGUUUUCUUUUGAAGAUGUUCCAUGGGAGAGAACGAAAAUGAAGGAUUUAGAUAGAGGACAGAUUUAAAAAGCAUGUGAUUCAGUAGAUUAAAAGUUGUCGGAUCUAUUUUAUUUGUUCGAUGUGGAAGUCGCCUUCCUAUACUAUAUUUCUCAUCACGGACAGUGGAAAAUACUAAUGUUCAAAUACUAUUUGAAACCAUACUUUUGCUUGAAUGUACGUUACGUAUAGCACUGUGUAUUUUUCAUGAAUUGAUCCAAUACAUGAAUAGGUAUUCUCUAGUGUGGGUAACAUUGUGAUAUGGAGCCCCUUUAAAGGUGAUGUAUAAAACCGGUUAGUGGCUAGGUCGACGAUAAUAGCCCUUGCAUUCCGGCUCUGGCUAUAUUAUUGGUGACCAGACCCUUUAUCUUCUAAUUGCUCAGUAACAACGUUAUUGUCUUGUUAAAAGGUCGGUUCAUACUCUGUGAAGUUACGGCAAUUCACUUUGUGAAGUUACGGCAAUCAUUAACGCCAGCGCUAAAAAAUUGGGGGAAAAAAGAGUGUACCACAUUUUAC